rnacentral:rRNA from 1 species
GACAGAGGCCCCAAGCGUUAGGCGGAAUCACUGGGCGUAAAGCGUGCGCAGGCGGUUGUGCAAGACAGAUGUGGAAAUCCCCGGGCUCAACCCGGGAACUGCGUCCGAUACUGGAAGGCUUGAAUCGGGAGAGGGAUGCGGAAUUCCGAGGUGUAGCGGUGAAAUGCGUAGAUAUCUGGAGGAACACCGGUGGCGAAGGCGGCAUCCUGGACCGGUAUGACGCUGAGGCGCGAAAGCC